rnacentral:SRP_RNA from 1 species
GUGGGCGCGGUGGCACGUGCCUGUAGCCCCAGCUACUGGGAAGCUGAGGUGGGAGGAUCGCUUGAGUCCAGGAGUUCUGGGCUGUAGUGGGCUAUGCCAAUCUGGUGUCCGCACUAAGUUCGGCAUCAAUAUGGUGACCUCCCAGGAGCAGGGGACCACCAGGUUUCCUAAGGAGGGGUGAAGCGGCCCAGGUCGGAAAUGGAGCAGGUCAAAACUCCGGUGCUGAUCAGUAGUGGGAUCACGCCUGUGAAUAACCACUGCACUCCAGCCUGGGCAACAUAGCGAGACCCAGUCUCA